GACGAACGCUGGCGGCGUGCUUAACACAUGCAAGUCGAACGAUGAAGGAGAGCUUGCUCUCCGGAUUAGUGGCGAACGGGUGAGUAACACGUGACUAACCUGCCCCUUUCUCUGGGAUAACGCUCCGAAAGGAGUGCUAAUACCGGAUACGAACUCUGAACACACGUUCGGAGUUGGAAAGUUUUUCGGAAAGGGAUGGAGUCGCGGCCUAUCAGCUUGUUGGUGAGGUAAUGGCUCACCAAGGCGACGACGGGUAGCCGGCCUGAGAGGGCGACCGGCCACACUGGGACUGAGACACGGCCCAGACUCCUACGGGAGGCAGCAGUGGGGAAUAUUGCACAAUGGGCGAAAGCCUGAUGCAGCGACGCCGCGUGAGGGAUGAAGGUCCUCGGAUUGUAAACCUCUUUCAGUAGGGACGAAGCGAAAGUGACGGUACCUAAAGAAGAAGCACCGGCUAACUACGUGCCAGCCGCCGCAGUAA
rnacentral:rRNA from 1 species